UUUCCGUAGGUGAACCUGCGGAAGGAUCAUUAAAGAGUAAGGGUCUUCUAGGCCCGACCUCCCAACCCUUUGUUUACCAAACCAUUGUUGCUUCGGCGGGCCCGUCCCAGGACCGCCGGAGGACCGUCAGACGUCCUCUGGCCCGCGCCCGUCGAUGGCCCCUAUCAUUAAACUCUGAACCAAACGUGUCCUGUCUGAGUGAUUAUUAUCAAAAAUUAAAGCAAAACUUUCAACAACGGAUCUCUUGGUUCUG
rnacentral:misc_RNA from 1 species